rnacentral:tRNA from 2 species
ACUUAAUUAGUAUAAAAAGUAUUAAAGACUUCCAAUCUUUAGGUCUAAUAUUUAGAUUAAGUA